GCUCUGUGUGUGUUAGGGCAUGCCUUCAAUGCUCAACCAGGUACUCUGCUCUAUUUUGGCUUCACUUCUUACUUGCAUGGGGCGAGCCAGAGGCACACGGGAUGUUUGUGCUUCCUCAUCUCUAAAAGUCAGUUACAGCCAUCUGGCUGUCAUUGACCAAUGAAGUGGGAACAGAAGCGAUAUGUGUCACUUCAGGCAGAAGCACGGAAGAGCUACGGUGGGAUUCUCCAGGCUGUCUUCCCUUGCAAAGGUGAAUCUUGAAGCCACACAUUGAGCUGACAACAUUGAAGGAUAAUAAAGCCUCCAGCAACUUCCAUUCCAGGAUGACAAUGAAAGCAGGGGCGACUUGUGUCUUCCCCCACCUUGCUGGUGGCAGCUACUUUUCUGUAAGCUGCAUACUGAACAUGCCAAAUCUGGCACAUUGUGGCCUGGCUGAAGAACAUGCCUCCAAGGGACAGCAGCACUGGCCAGACCACAUCUGAAGCCCCUGCUGAUUCAGCUCAGCAGAACCCUAGUGAUUCCCAGGUGAAGCCCUUGUCCCCUCCUAAGGAGCCUUUGGUCAACCAGAUUUUCAUUCCCGAAUGCUGUUAAAUUUAGCAACUGCCUCUGCGUUAUUUGGUUCAGGAAGGGGAGCAGAGAUGGAAGGCAAAGCAGUUCUGCCUCAAGCAGCCAUCCAGGAAGGCUCGGCAGUGGACAAGGCCAUUUCCACACCAAGGGAGCUACAGUUAGGAACAAGUCCUGGAGUCCUAGUUAUUUAUGGCUUGCUUCAGACAUUUCAGUUGUAUAUAUCUUCAGGACCAAAAAACUUUGGGUCAAAUAAAUCUGGC
rnacentral:lncRNA from 1 species